rnacentral:ncRNA from 1 species
UGAAAUGGCGAUGGAGUUCGCCUUUAACCGCUUCGAUCUUCGGAGCUGAUGACUCCUGCUUA